AGAGUUUGAUCCUGGCUCAGGAUGAACGCUAGCGACAGGCUUAACACAUGCAAGUCGAGGGGCAGCACGGUGUAGCAAUACACUGGUGGCGACCGGCGCACGGGUGAGUAACACGUGUGCAACCAACCCCGUACCGGGAGAUAACCCGCGGAAACGUGGACUAACAUCCCAUGACACUCGAGAGCCGCAUGGCUCUAGAUUUAAAAUUCCGGUGGUACGGGACGGGCACGCGCGACAUUAGGUAGUUGGCGGGGUAACGGCCCACCAAGCCGACGAUGUCUAGGGGUUCUGAGAGGAAGGUCCCCCACACUGGAACUGAGACACGGUCCAGACUCCUACGGGAGGCAGCAGUGAGGAAUAUUGGUCAAUGGGCGAGAGCCUGAACCAGCCAAGUCGCGUGAGGGAAGAAUGGUCUAUGGCCUGUAAACCUCUUUUGUCAGGGAAGAAUAAGGAUGACGAGUCAUUCGAUGCCAGUACUUGACGAAUAAGCAUCGGCUAACUCCGUGCCAGCAGCCGCGGUAAUACGGGGGAUGCGAGCGUUAUCCGGAUUUAUUGGGUUUAAAGGGCGCGUAGGCGGGACGUCAAGUCAGCGGUAAAAGACUGCAGCUAAACUGUAGCACGCCGUUGAAACUGGCGCCCUGGAGACGAGACGAGGGAGGCGGAACAAGUGAAGUAGCGGUGAAAUGCAUAGAUAUCACUUGGAACCCCGAUAGCGAAGGCAGCUUCCCAGGCUCGUUCUGACGCUGAUGCGCGAGAGCGUGGGUAGCGAACAGGAUUAGAUACCCUGGUAGUCCACGCCGUAAACGAUGCUCACUGGAUCUUGGCGAUACACGGCCAGGGUUCAAGCGAAAGUAUUAAGUGAGCCACCUGGGGAGUACGUCGGCAACGAUGAAACUCAAAGGAAUUGACGGGGGCCCGCACAAGCGGAGGAACAUGUGGUUUAAUUCGAUGAUACGCGAGGA
rnacentral:rRNA from 1 species